rnacentral:rRNA from 1 species
UAACAAGGUUUCCGUAGGGUGAGUUCUUCCCCCGUUUCCCCUUGUUUUUUCUUCUACGAAUUCUUGCUAACUAUUAUUUUCUACAGUGAACCUGCGGAAGGAUCAUUA